GGCCGGGUACCAGAGUGGUUAAUGGCGAGGUCUGCAAAACCUUCGAUUCGUGAGUUCGAAUCUCAUCCCGGCCU
rnacentral:tRNA from 1 species